AUUGAACGCUGGCGGCAGGCCUAACACAUGCAAGUCGAACGAGUGGCGGACGGGUGAGUAAUAUCUGGGAACCUGCCUGAUGGAGGGGGAUAACUACUGGAAACGGUAGCUAAUACCGCAUACCAUCGGAUGUUCCCAUAUGGGAUUAGCUAGUAGGUGGGGUAACGGCUCACCCAGGCGACGCUCUCUAGCUGGUCUGAGAGGAUGACCAGCCACACUGGAACUUAGACACGGUCCAGACUCCUACUGGAGGCAGCAGUGGGGAAUAUUGCACAAUGGGCGCAAGCCUGAUGCAGCCAUGCCGCGUGUAUGAAGAAGGCCUUCGGGUUGUAAAGUACUUUCAGCGGGGAGGCGUUACCCGCAGAAGAAGCACCGGCUAACUCCGUGCCAGCAGCCGCGGUAAUAC
rnacentral:rRNA from 1 species